rnacentral:rRNA from 1 species
GACGAACGCUGGCGGCGUGCUUAACACAUGCAAGUCGAACGAAGUGGCGAACGGGUGAGUAAUACGUGGGUAACCUGCCCUCCUUUUUGGGAUAAGCCUUGGAAACGGGGUCUAAUACCGAAUAAAGGGGGAUGGGCUCGCGGCCUAUCAGCUUGUUGGUGGGGUGAUGGCCUACCAAGGCGGUGACGGGUAGCCGGCCUGAGAGGGUGAACGGUCAGAGUGGGAGUGAGAGGCGGCACAGAGUCCGACGGUGGGAAGGAGUGGGGGAUAUUGCACAAUGGGCGAAAUCUGGAUCCAGCGACGCCGCGUGGGGGAGGAAGGCGUUCGGGUUGUAAACCUUUUGCGCUAUAGAACGGGUAGGUGGAGAAGAAGCGCCGGCUAACUACGUGCCAGCAGCAGCGGUAAUAC